GUUCUGCUCAAUGAAUAUUAUUAAAUAGCUGCAGUAUUUUGACUGUACAAAGGUAGCAUAAUAAAUUGUUUUUUAAUUGAAAACUAGAAUGAAUGAAUUAAUGAAAUAAAAACUUUAUUUAAAUAAAAAAUUGAAUUUUAUUUUUAAGUUAAAAAGCUUAAAUGAAUUUAUAAGACGAUAAGACCCUAUAGAAUUUUAUUUAUUAUAAAAAAAUUAAUUUUAUAAUUAAUUGAUUUAAUUUAUAAUAAAUUUUUUUGGGAGGAAAAUUAAAUUUAAUAAACUUUUAUAAAUUAUUUACAAUUAUAAUUGUUAAUUAAGUUAAUGAAUUUAUUUUAUUAUAAUAAUUAAAUUAAAUUACCUUAGGGAUAACAGCGUAAUAUUUUUGGAUAGUUCAUAUUGAUAAAAAUGUUUACGACCUCGAUGUUGAAUUAAGAUAAAAUUUAUAAGUAGAAGUAUAAAAUUUAAGUCUGUUCGACUUUUAAAAUCUUACAUGAUUUGAGUUCAAAUC
rnacentral:rRNA from 1 species